rnacentral:rRNA from 1 species
GGACAACUACUGGAAACGGUAGCUAAUACCGGAUAUUGCCGCAUGGCGAAAGCUAUAUGCGCUGCAGGAGAGCUUUGCGUCCCAUUAGUUAGUUGGUGAGGUAACGGCUCACCAAGACCGCGAUGGGUAGCCGGCCUGAGAGGGUGAACGGCCACAAGGGGACUGAGACACGGCCCUUACUCCUACGGGAGGCAGCAGUGGGGAAUAUUGGACAAUGGACCAAAGUCUGAUCCAGCAAUUCUGUGUGCACGAUGAGGUCUUAGGAUUGUAAAGUGCUUUCAAUCGGGAAAAAGAAAGUGAUGGUACCGAUAGAAGAAGCGACGGCUAAAUACGUGCCAGCAGCCGCGGUAAUACGUAUGUGCAAGCGUUAUCCGGAUUUAUUGGGCGUAAAGCGCGUCUAGGCGGUUUGGUAAGUCUGAUGUGGAAAUGCGGGGCUCAACUCCGUAUUGCGUUGGAAACUGCCAGACUAGAGUACUGGAGAGGUGGGCGGAACUACAAGUGUAGAGGUGAAAUUCGUAGAUAUUUGUAGGAAUGCCGAUAGAGAAGUCAGCUCACUGGACAGAU